UGUUUGCAUAGUGUGUGUAUAUAAUGCAGUGUGUUUGUGUAGUGUGUUUAUAUACUACACUGUAGUGUUUAUACACUACACAAACACACUGCAUUAUAUACACACACUAUACAAAC